AAUGAAAACCUGCAGUUUUGACACCCCUGAUUAACAAAAUGUUCCUGAGGAGGUAAAAAACAAAAGAACUGAAGCUGCUGUGUGGACGUGACACUGAUCACAUGUUCCACAGGUUCCUCUGGUGUGACCCACCUCAUGUUGGCUCUUCGUGUUGCAGAGCUGCUCCUCCUUACUGUAAUGACCACUCUGCUCAUCAGAACGUGGCGCAGAACAAGAGUGAAGAUGAAAACACCUGAGGGCAACGCUGUGCAUAAUGAUAAUGAUGAUGGCGGUUCAGUGAACUAUGAUGACGUCGACGCUCCCUCUUCCUCUGUCGGACUCCACUGAUCAACAGCCUCCACACCGACGUCGACUAACCAGAGAAACAAGACGACACAGCAGCUGAAUGUCAUCACAUCGAAAUAAUUUUCAGAUGACUUGCUGAAGAAUUUUUUUUUUUUUUCAAAAUGACAUGAUCAAGGGUCGUCAAUAAAGUUGCAGUUAUGGGUCUGGUGGCAGCAGCUGGAUGUACGCUGGGUUGUGAGAGUAGGCUGGAUGCAGAACGAACACCUGUUGCAGCAGCCGGGUGUAGAGCUGCAUCUGGGUCCAAAUUACAGUUUCCUGAGUGCAGGUGGAGGCAGAGACAGUCUAGAAGAGAGACGGCUCACUGUAGAGUCAUUUCUUGGAUCUGGGUCACGUGGAUUCCUCCAAUCAUUCGGACACCAAAAAUGAAAACCAGUCAGGAGAAAAUGAACUGUGUUUGAGACCUGUCCCUUUUCCAGCAUCACAGACUCACAAGGUCUGGCAACACAGAUAUUUCUUCACUUUGUCUGGUCUUUGUUUUUGAUGCAGUGCUGCUGACGUUGCUCUCAGACUGAAUCAACAGAAAUUUAAAGAGACUGAUGUGUGAAAUCAUGAAUUAUUAGUUAAAACUGAAAUAGAGUUUGUGCUUCUUUGCUUAAUUAUGCUAUUACUGUUAUAAUGUAAUUGUUUUUAGAGGGGAAAAAAGUGAUUAUUAUUAUUAUUAUUAUUAUUGUAACGAGCUUUCCAUCUGGAUUGAUAUAUUGAUCUAAUGAUCAACGAUCCAGUAUAAUCAAUUCUAAUUGAAAAUAUUGAUCCAUAUUAUCAUCUUAGAGAUCUGCCUUUAUUUUGAAAUUCCCAUGGCAUGUCUGUGUCACCAUUUCCAUCUAAGAACACAGCCAGAAACAGUGCCAGAGCCAGGCAGAUAAAAGCAGCUGCAGCCAAGAAAAAGACAAUAAGGACACUCUUUUUGGUUGUAGUCCACCACCUGCUGGGAGAUUCUAGAUAGAACUUCUGCCUGUGAACACAUCAUCUGCACCAGCGCAGCUGCACCAAGUCUAGUGCUCAGCUGUGUUCAGCUUAGAGCUUAAACUCAACCUUUUGUUUUACAUUCAGCUGGUCAACUGGCCUAUUAGUCAAUUCAUUACUUAAAUAUUAAGAUUAAAACAAUGACUGUAUUGGACAGUUUAUACAAGGCUUUCCUACAUAAACAUUCAGAGACAUUUUGGGUUUAAGAGUUGUAUUCCAGCAUAUCAACCUUUUGCAGAAACUGAGGCCCACAAAAUACCAACAAAACAAUUGCUCACAUCAAACUGAAUGAGUGUCGUGUAAAUGUUGAAGAUGAGAUUUUAUCUUUUUGUAGAGAUGAUGUUAUUCCUAUCUUUUUUUU